rnacentral:rRNA from 1 species
UACGGGGGGUGCAAGCGUUGUUCGGAAUUACUGGGCGUAAAGGGGUCGUAGGUGGCAAACUAAGUCAGACGUGAAAUCCCUCGGCUUAACCGGGGAACUGCGUCUGAUACUGGAUGGCUUGAGAUUGGGAGAGGGAUGCGGAAUUCCAGGUGUAGCGGUGAAAUGCGUAGAUAUCUGGAGGAACACCGGUGGCGAAGGCGGCAUCCUGGACCAACACUGACACUGAGGAGCGAAAGCCAGGGGAGCAAACGGG